rnacentral:rRNA from 1 species
UGGGGAAUUUUGGACAAUGGCGGAAACCCUGAUCCAGCCAUCCCGCGUGUGCGAUGAAGGCCUUCGGGUUGUAAAGCACUUUUGGCAGGAAAGAAACGUCAUGGGUUAAUACCCCGUGAAACUGACGGUACCUGCAGAAUAAGCACCGGCUAACUACGUGCCAGCAGCCGCGGUAAUACGUAGGGUGCAAGCGUUAAUCGGAAUUACUGGGCGUAAAGCGUGCGCAGGCGGUUCGGAAAGAAAGAUGUGAAAUCCCAGAGCUCAACUUUGGAACUGCAUUUUUAACUACCGGGCUAGAGUGUGUCAGAGGGAGGUGGAAUUCCGCGUGUAGCAGUGAAAUGCGUAGAUAUGCGGAGGAACACCGAUGGCGAAGGCAGCCUCCUGGGAUAACACUGACGCUCAUGCACGAAAGCGUGGGGAGCAAACAGG